GUGAAGCAUUAUGAUGUCAUCAGAGAUGACAGGGGGCAGUGUGAAACAUGAAGUCACAGACGCUAUGGGGAGGGUGAUUUACAAAGUCAGAGAACACAGCUCAAGUGUGAAACCUGAAGUCAGAGACACCUGGCUACACAUCUACACCUUGAAGUCUGGAAGAUUGAUGCCCAUGUGUAAGUAGGUUUUUUCAUUGGGAUGGAGGAUAGGUCUGUGGGUUUAAUCUUUUUUAGUGGAUUAUCUUCCUUUUCAUCUUGGAAAUUGUCAGUGCUGCCUAUAAUUAAUACCCCUUCCAUGACUCUAAAUAAAAUAAAAAUUUUGUCAUAACCA
rnacentral:lncRNA from 1 species